GUGUGUGUAUUUGUGUAUUGGCCAGCCACAUGCUACAAUGUCUCUGAAAACCAUUAAAUCCAGUUACUUUAUGCAUUGUCUGCAAUGGCGAUUCAGCCUUAGAAACUUUUACUGUACAAAGUGUACAAAAGAGAAAAGGCUAUAUACAGCACUACGAGAUUCAGGAACAACCAAUUACUGGAGUUACAGAUUAAAUUCUUUAAAGUCUGUUUUUUUUUCCCCUCAGCACAGCAAGUCGACAAAACAUGCCCGAAUGGAGAAUGACAGAGGGAAUCCAUCUUCAGUUGUUUCCCCCCUCCAUUAGAAAAAAACAAGUUGAAAAAACCUGUGAGCUUUGAAAGUGGACAUCACUCCGGCCCACAGCAGAGAGUCGCCUCCUCAGAUGCUCCAGCCACUGCAACAACAUCCAGACCCACAACCAGAACUCGCAGGAGUCCUUGACUACUGCACAUUAAGUUUCAUACAAGUUUCACUGCUUCACAUUAACCAUAUACUAUAUGUACUGUUCUGGACUUGGGAAAAAAAUGUGUCACUGUAUUAUUCAACUCUACAUAUUCAAAGUAAAAUAUUACAAUUUUGGUACUGAAACCGAAAAUCAGAUACACAUAUUUGUACAUUCAGUA